rnacentral:misc_RNA from 1 species
GAUGAAGAACGUAGCGAAAUGCGAUACUUGGUGUGAAUUGCAGAAUCCCGUGAACCAUCGAGUCUUUAAACGCAAGUUGCGCCUCAAGCCAUUAGGUUGAGGGCACGUCUGCCUGGGCGUCACAUAUCGUUGCCUGAUGCCAGUUUCCUCGUGAUGGGUGACUGUGCAGGGCGAAUGAUGGCUUCCCGUGAGCAUUGUUGCCUCAUGGUUGGUUGAAAAUUGAGUCCUUGGUAGGGAGCGCCGUGAUAGAUGGUGGUUGAGUGACGAACGAGACCCAAUCAUGUGAGACCCCUACCGAAUUUGGCCUUCAUGACCCACAUGCGUCUUUGGAACGCUCAUGACGAGACCUCAGGUCAGGCGGGGCUACCCGCUGAGUUUAAGCAUAUCAAUAAGCGGAGGA